AAAAGAAAUUCGGUGCAGGAUGAGUCCGCGUCUGAUUAGCUAGUUGGAGGGGUAAGAGCCCACCAAGGCAACGAUCAGUAGCCGGCCUGAGAGGGCGACCGGCCACAUUGGGACUGAGACACGGCCCAAACUCCUACGGGAGGCAGCAGUGGGGAAUAUUGCACAAUGGGGGGAACCCUGAUGCAGCGACGCCGCGUGAGCGAGGAAGUAUUUCGGUAUGUAAAGCUCUAUCAGCAGGGACGAAAAAAGACGGUACCUGACUAAGAAGCCCCGGCUAACUACGUGCCAGCAGCCGCGGUAAUACGUAGGGGGCAAGCGUUAUCCGGAUUUACUGGGUGUAAAGGGAGCGUAGACGGCAAGGCAAGCCAGAAGUGAAAGGGCAGGGCUCAACCCUGUACAUGCUUUUGGAACUGUGGUGCUAGAGUGCAGGAGAGGUAAGUGGAAUUCCUAGUGUAGCGGUGAAAUGCGUAGAUAUUAGGAGGAACACCAGUGGCGAAGGCGGCUUACUGGACUGUAACUGACGUUGAGGCUCGAAAGCGUGGGGAGCAAACAGGAUUAGAUACCCUGGUAGUCCACGCUGUAAACGAUGAAUACUAGGUGUUGGGGGCUGAAGCCUUCG
rnacentral:rRNA from 1 species